UACAGCCAUAUCAUAUUGAAACACCAGUUCUUGUCUGAUCAUCAAAGUUAAGCAAUGUCAAUCCUGGUCAGUACCUGAAUGGGUGACCACUUGAGAAUACCAGGUACAGU